ACCGGCACUAACGGGGCCAGCACCCCGGCA
rnacentral:sRNA from 1 species